rnacentral:rRNA from 1 species
GACGAACGCUGGCGGCGUGCUUAACACAUGCAAGUCGAACGGAAAGGCCUGCUUUCCCUUGUGGAUUGCGGGUACUCGAGUGGCGAACGGGUGAGUAACACGUGAGUGAUCUGCCCCCAACUUGGGUAUAAGCCUGGGAAACUGGGUCUAAUUCCCGAUAGGACUGCAGGGUGGUGCCUGUGGUGGAAAACGAUUUUCUAGUGGUUGGGGAUGAGCUCGCGGCCUAUCAGCUUGUUGGUGGGGUAAUGGCCUACCAAGGCGGCGACGGGUAGCCGGCCUGAGAGGGUGGACGGCCUCAUUGGAGCUGAGCUACGGCCCAGACUCCUACGGGAGGCAGCCGUGGGGAAUAUUGCACAAUGGGCGGAAGCCUGAUGCAGCGACGCCGCGUGGGGGAUGACGGCCUUCGGGUUGUAAACUCCUUUCGACCGCGAGGAAGCCACCUGGUUGGAAGGGUGGUGACGGUAGUGGUAGAAGAAGCACCGGCUAACUACGUG